GACAGAGGGGGCAAGCGUUGCUCGGAAUUACUGGGCGUAAAGGGCGCGUAGGCGGGAUGGCAAGUCGGUCGUGAAAUCCCUUGGCUCAACCGAGGAACGUCGAUCGAUACUGCUGUUCUUGAGGAUUGCAGAGGAGACUGGAAUUCCCGGUGUAGCGGUGAAAUGUGUAGAGAUCGGGAGGAACACCGGUGGCGAAGGCGGGUCUCUGGGCAAUUCCUGACGCUGAGGCGCGAAAGCGUGGGGAGCAAACGGG
rnacentral:rRNA from 1 species